rnacentral:rRNA from 1 species
GCGACAGGCUUAACACAUGCAAGUCGAGGGGCAGCACAGGUAGCAAUACCGGGUGGCGACCGGCGCACGGGUGAGUAACGCGUAUGCAACUUGCCUAUCAGAGGGGGAUAACCCGGCGAAAGUCGGACUAAUACCGCAUGAAGCAGGGGCCCCGCAUGGGGAUAUUUGCUAAAGAUUCAUCGCUGAUAGAUAGGCAUGCGUUCCAUUAGGCAGUUGGCGGGGUAACGGCCCACCAAACCGACGAUGGAUAGGGGUUCUGAGAGGAAGGUCCCCCACAUUGGUACUGAGACACGGACCAAACUCCUACGGGAGGCAGCAGUGAGGAAUAUUGGUCAAUGGGCGUAAGCCUGAACCAGCCAAGUCGCGUGAGGGAUGAAGGUUCUAUGGAUCGUAAACCUCUUUUAUAAGGGAAUAAAGUGCGGGACGUGUCCCGUUUUGUAUGUACCUUAUGAAUAAGGAUCGGCUAACUCCGUGCCAGCAGCCGCGGUAAUACGGAGGAUCCGAGCGUUAUCCGGAUUUAUUGGGUUUAAAGGGUGCGUAGGCGGCCUUUUAAGUCAGCGGUGAAAGUCUGUGGCUCAACCAUAGAAUUGCCGUUGAAACUGGGGGGCUUGAGUAUGUUUGAGGCAGGCGGAAUGCGUGGUGUAGCGGUGAAAUGCAUAGAUAUCACGCAGAACCCCGAUUGCGAAGGCAGCCUGCCAAGCCAUUACUGACGCUGAUGCACGAAAGCGUGGGGAUCAAACAGGAUUAGAUACCCUGGUAGUCCACGCAGUAAACGAUGAUCACUAGCUGUUUGCGAUACACUGUAAGCGGCACAGCGAAAGCGUUAAGUGAUCCACCUGGGGAGUACGCCGGCAACGGUGAAACUCAAAGGAAUUGACGGGGGCCCGCACAAGCGGAGGAACAUGUGGUUUAAUUCGAUGAUACGCGAGGAACCUUACCCGGGUUUGAACGCAUUCGGACCGAGGUGGAAACACCUUUUCUAGCAAUAGCCGUUUGCGAGGUGCUGCAUGGUUGUCGUCAGCUCGUGCCGUGAGGUGUCGGCUUAAGUGCCAUAACGAGCGCAACCCUUGCCACUAGUUACUAACAGGUAAAGCUGAGGACUCUGGUGGGACUGCCAGCGUAAGCUGCGAGGAAGGCGGGGAUGACGUCAAAUCAGCACGGCCCUUACAUCCGGGGCGACACACGUGUUACAAUGGCGUGGACAAAGGGAAGCCACCUGGCGACAGGGAGCGAAUCCCCAAACCACGUCUCAGUUCGGAUCGGAGUCUGCAACCCGACUCCGUGAAGCUGGAUUCGCUAGUAAUCGCGCAUCAGCCAUGGCGCGGUGAAUACGUUCCCGGGCCUUGUACACACCGCCCGUCAAGCCAUGGGAGCCGGGGGUACCUGAAGUCCGUAACCGCGAGGAUCGGCCUAGGGUAAAACUGGUGACUGGG